rnacentral:rRNA from 1 species
AAUGAACGUUGGCGGCGUGGAUUAGGCAUGCAAGUCGAGCGAGAAGUUAAUUGUUGAAGCCUCGGCCGAUUCAAUUAGCGGAAAGCGGCAAACGGCGUAGUAAUACGUAGGUACGUGCCCUCAGGUCGGGAAUAGCCAUGGGAAACCGUGGGUAAUGCCCGAUAAUAUCUGUGGAUCAAAGGUGUGAUUCCGCCUGAGGAGUGGCUUACGCGAUAUUAGCUUGUUGGUGGGGUAACGGCCUACCAAGGCAACGAUGUCUAGGGGGUGUGAGAGCAUGGCCCCCACGACCGGAACUGAGACACUGUCCGGACACCUACGGGUGGCUGCAGUCGAGAAUCUUCCGCAAUGGGCGAAAGCCUGACGGAGCGACGCCGCGUGCGGGAUGAAGGCCCUUGGGUUGUAAACCGCUGUCAGAGGGGAUGAAAUCGUGAUUGGCUAUCCUUUCACGUUGACAGAGCCUCAGAGGAAGCACGGGCUAAGUACG